UAGAUCAGGCUCUAGACUGGGUGUUGGU
rnacentral:piRNA from 1 species